rnacentral:tRNA from 1 species
GGAUGGUGGCUCAGCGGUAGAGUGCUUGCCUCCCAUGUAUGAGGUACUGGGUUUGAUCCUCAGCACCA